UUCAGCUUCUCCGAUAUCGUGACUACUUUCCUAUAGUCCAACAAAUUGUAACUCCUUUCCCUAAUCACAGGAUUCAGAAAGUUCUCCGGAUGGCUGCUCAGCAGCAGAUUAACCAACUGCCUCGCUUCCCCAAGUGCCGAUUUCAGGUCGUUCGCCUCUCCUUGAUUAUCCGCAAAGGAUUCCAAUAUCUUGACGUCAAUCUCGAUCCCCAUAACAGCAUGUAUAGAGAAUCUCUUGACAGAAUCUGCAAAUAGAGAUCCCACAAUCUUCUCGGAGAUGUGACCGAGAACAUCUCUCAACACCCUUUUAAGGACUUGGCCUGGUAAUAUCUGUUGUGCGGUCGAGACGAGAGUUUCGAGAUAAAUCAUGACUUCGUUCACGUAUUCAUUUCCGCUCGGUACUGGUUCGUCCGCCAUCCAGUUCACUUUCUUAGCUCCCCUGCUUCCAAACGUUCCGAACAGUCUAUCCGAAGGAUCUUUCAGCUUCUCCGAUAUCGUGACUACUUUCCUAUAGUCCAACAAAUUGUAACUCCUUUCCCUAAUCACAGGAUUCAGAAAGUUCUCCGGAUGGCUGCUCAGCAGCAGAUUAACCAACUGCCUCGCUUCCCCAAGUGCCGAUUUCAGGUCGUUCGCCUCUCCUUGAUUAUCCGCAAAGGAUUCCAAUAUCUUGACGUCAAUCUCGAUCCCCAUAACAGCAUGUAUAGAGAAUCUCUUGACAGAAUCUGCAAAUAGAGAUCCCACGAUCUUCUCGGAAAUGUGAGCAAGAAC
rnacentral:lncRNA from 1 species